CGAAUCCUGCACGACCCACCAAUUUCAGCAUUUAACUCAGAUGCUGAACGUGAAGGAUAACGUUGCGUCAGCAACGGCCCGAAGGGCGAGGCAAAGCCGAGUCAUCCUGCACGACCUACCA
rnacentral:sRNA from 1 species